rnacentral:rRNA from 1 species
UACGAAGGGUGCUAGCGUUGCUCGGAAUCACUGGGCGUAAAGCGCACGUAGGCGGCUUUCUAAGUCAGGGGUGAAAUCCUGGAGCUCAACUCCAGAACUGCCUUUGAUACUGGCGAUCUCGAGUCCGGGAGAGGUGAGUGGAACUGCGAGUGUAGAGGUGAAAUUCGUAGAUAUUCGCAAGAACACCAGUGGCGAAGGCGGCUCACUGGCCCGGUACUGACGCUGAGGGGCGAAAGCGUGGGGAGCAAACAGG